UACGUAGGGUGCGAGCGUUGUCCGGAAUUAUUGGGCGUAAAGAGCUCGUAGGCGGUCUGUCGCGUCGAUCGUGAAAACUUGGGGCUUAACCCUGAGCUUGCGGUCGAUACGGGCAUGACUGGAGUUCGGCAGGGGAGACUGGAAUUCCUGGUGUAGCGGUGAAAUGCGUAGAUAUCAGGAGGAAUACCGAUGGCGAAGGCAGGUCUCUGGGCUGACACUGACGCUCAUGCACGAAAGCGUGGGGAGCAAACAGG
rnacentral:rRNA from 1 species